UUGAAUCAAGAAUAAAUUUGGAAUUGUAUCUCAUGUCACAAUGACUUAUCUAUUUACGGGAAAUGUUAUUGGAACAUGAUUUUGUUAUUUACAUGACAUGACAUGAUAAGGAUUCUGGAAUGACCUUGUUAAUUGUCCAAGAUUUCGGUAUUUGUAAUCAUCUGGGUUUUAUCCAAUAUGCAUACAUUAUGUAACAUCGAAUUAUAACUAAAAACAGAUGUUUAUAACUUGUGAAAAACAAUGUCAUUGUCACGCCCAUAUGCUCAUUUUUCCCCCUCCCAUCCUGCUAUGAAAAUGGGGUAUAAAUAUAACUGACGUAUGAAUACAAUUUGAAUUGGUUAUUGAACACGUCUCUGCUAUUCAUUUCCAAUUUCCAGAGCUCUGUAUGAGUUGGCAAAUAUCCAUCAUCCACAAAGGGCCCAGGCUGAUUUUAUCCCCCACAAACUGGUGUCAGAAGUUUUUGGGUGCAAUUGGGAACGGAGUAGCAGGUAAGAGGGUCUUUAGCCCCUUGGGGACACAACUUCUGGAAUUUAAGGGUAUCAUGACGGAGUAUUUCUGUCGUGUGUCCUUAAGGGGUUGGGGACCUUUGCCUGCUUCUGCCAUCCUCCCACACAUUGCAUUUCUUGUUUUAAUGGGGUUUUUCACUAUUUACAUUUUUAAAGGGGAUUUUCACAGGAUAAUGUCUUUGGUAGACAUGGUAUUUUGUUAAGUCUUAGGUAGACUUCUAUUACUCCAUGGGUUGGAGGAUUGCCUUUGGUAGGUAGUAGUAGUUAUUGUGCACAUUUCCUCUUUGGUAAGAGGUUCACCUUUGGCCAGG